GCAAUGGUGGUUCAGUGGUAUAAUUCUUGCCUUCCAUGUAGGCAACCAGGGUUCGAUUCCCUGCCAAUGUA
rnacentral:tRNA from 1 species